UACGUAGGGACCAAGCGUUGUUCGGAUUUACUGGGCGUAAAGGGCGCGUAGGCGGCAUGACAAGUCACUUGUGAAAUCUCUGGGCUUAACCCAGAACGGCCAAGUGAUACUGUCGCGCUAGAGUGCAGAAAGGGCAAUCGGAAUUCUUGGUGUAGCGGUGAAAUGCGUAGAUAUCAAGAGGAACACCUGAGGCGAAGGCGGGUUGCUAGGCUGACACUGACGCUGGAGGCGACGAAAGCCAGGGGAGCAAACGGG
rnacentral:rRNA from 1 species